rnacentral:rRNA from 1 species
AAACAUUGAUAGUACCCCACACCCACUAUCCGCCUGGGGACUACGAGCAGCAGCUUAAAACCCAAAGGACUUGGCGGUGCUUUAAACCCAUCUAGAGGAGCCUGUUCUAAAACCGAUAACCCCCGUUCAACCUCACCUUUCCUUGUUUUACCCGCCUAUAUACCGCCGUCGUCAGCUUACCCUGUGAAGGUUUAAUAGUAAGCAGACUGGCUUGGCCCAGAACGUCAGGUCGAGGUGUAGCGCAUGGGAGGGGAAGAAAUGGGCUACAUUCGCUACUGCAGCGAACACGGAUGGUAUGCUGAAACGUAUACCUGAAGGAGGAUUUAGCAGUAAGCAGAAAAUAGAGUGUUCC